GUCAUGCUUAAUUUUGUGGCUUUCGACUAACUGAGUGGCUGAAGAUGAUGCUUUCUUGGUCAAGCAAAUUGGCCAGAGUUUCCGGUAUUCUAAAAUAGAGGCAAGAAGGGAGGAACAAAUCCAAGCUGCUCAUGACAAAGCCAUGUUUGGUGCUUCAGCACUUCCACCUCCUACCAGUACUGACAGUGAGCCUGAAAGGGAGAAUGAGAAAGAAGUUGAUAAAAAAGCUGUUGUUACAAGCCUCUUAAGUGAAACGGAGUGCUGAAAU